UACGAAGGGGAGCUAGCGUUGCUCGGAAUCACUGGGCGUAAAGGGUGCGUAGGCGGGUCUUUAAGUCGGGGGUGAAAUCCCGAGGCUCAACCUCGGAACUGCCUUCGAUACUGGAAGUCUUGAGUCCGGGAGAGGUGAGUGGAACUCCGAGUGUAGAGGUGAAAUUCGUAGAUAUUCGGAAGAACACCAGUGGCGAAGGCGGCUCACUGGCCCGGCACUGACGCUCAUGCACGAAAGCGUGGGGAGCAAACAGG
rnacentral:rRNA from 1 species